GACGAACGCUGGCGGCGUGCUUAACACAUGCAAGUCGUACGGUAAGGCCCUUUCGGGGGUACACGAGUGGCGAACGGGUGAGUAACACGUGAGUAACCUGCUCACAACUUUGGGAUAACGCUAGGAAACUGGUGCUAAUACUGGAUAUGUGCUCCUGCUGCAUGGUGGGGGUUGGAAAGCUCCGGCGGUUGUGGAUGGACUCGCGGCCUAUCAGCUUGUUGGUGGGGUAGUGGCCUACCAAGGCGGCGACGGGUAGCCGGCCUGAGAGGGUGACCGGCCACAUUGGGACUGAGAUACGGCCCAGACUCCUACGGGAGGCAGCAGUGGGGAAUAUUGCACAAUGGGCGCAAGCCGGAUGCAGCAACGCCGCGUGCGGGAUGACGGCCUUCGGGUUGUAAACCGCUUUCAGCAGGGACGAAGCUUUUUGUGACGGUACCUGCAGAAGAAGCACCGGCUAACUACGUG
rnacentral:rRNA from 1 species